GAUCGUCAGUCCUACCGCAUAUAUGGCC
rnacentral:sRNA from 1 species